UACAGAGGUCUCGAGCGUUAGGCGGAAUCACUGGGCUUAAAGCGUGUGUAGGCGGAUCGGUAAGUACCUUGUGAAAUCCCACAGCUUAACUGUGGAACUGCUUGGUAUACUGCCAGUCUUGAGCCACUUAGGGGCUACCGGAACAAAUGGUGUAGCGGUGAAAUGCGUAGAUAUCUGGAGGAACACCGGUGGCGAAGGCGGCAUCCUGGACCGAUAUUGACGCUGAUGCGCGAAAGCCAGGGGAGCAAACGGG
rnacentral:rRNA from 1 species